AUUGAACGCUGGCGGCAGGCCUAACACAUGCAAGUCGAGCGGAGCGGCGGACGGGUGAGUAAUGCCUAGGAAUCUGCCUGGUAGUGGGGGAUAACGUCCGGAAACGGGCGCUAAUACCGCAUACUAUCAGAUGAGCCUAGGUCGGAUUAGCUAGUUGGUGGGGUAAAGGCCUACCAAGGCGACGAUCCGUAACUGGUCUGAGAGGAUGAUCAGUCAAACUUGAACCGAGAAACGGUCCAGACUCCUUCGGGAGGGCAGAGUGGGGAAUAUUUGGCAAUGGGGGAAAGGCUUGUUCCACCCUGCCGCGUGUGUGAAGAAGGUUUUCGGAUUGGAAAGGACUUUUAGUUGGGGAGCGUUAACCACCAAAAAAGCAACGGCUAACUUCGUGCCAGCAGCCGCGGUUAUUC
rnacentral:rRNA from 1 species